GGGGAGAGGUCAUCUGAGCUGUGUCUUAAAGGGGUGGCUUUUUAAAGCAAUUGCAGAAAGGAGGUGACAUUUAAGGGGAACUUGACUGGCUCUCCGAAGGGAGGAGCAACCUUAUAGCACUUUUCAAAAUCACUUCACUAAAACCCAGAGUCAAAGCAGUCUUUAAUUUAGUGCCUUUUAUAGGACAGAAUACAGUUUAGGAGUAACCAAGGACAUUCACAGGUGAAAAGUACUUAAAUCAGAGAGACAGCGUAGUUAGGGAAAGGAGACCAACCAUUUCUUUCUUUAUGGCAGAGAACAUUAACUGAAUACCUCAGAGGCUGAAGCAAAGAAACAAAGAGAACACUAGUCUUCUUUGUCAACCUGGCUCUGAAUGCAAACACCGUUUUGAACUUGGAGGACUCAUGGGAAGUUGGUUUGAUGGUUGGAGGCUUGUUUGUAGAACUCAUUCUUUGCUGCUUUUUUCUAUACUUUGUUUUGUUUUUGUUUCUGGUUUUUAGUAAAGCCUAUACCCGCAAUCACAGCAGUCUCACAAAGGACUAAAUCAGAGACCAGAGUCCGAAUGCCCAGUCACGUUGCUCCCUCUACCACUCGGUGGAUUUCUUCUAGAAUCUAUAUUCUGAUGUCAGCCAUCUCCCGCCCUUCUUUUCUUUCCUCAUGGGCCCUGCCUUAGGUUUAUACUUUUGCAAUAGAUCCUUAAAUGUUCUCCCUGCCUCCAGAUUCUUACAUUGCACACAGGUCAAAUGUCAAAACGGGGCUUCUUGGAUAAAAGCAGCCCACGGUGCCUUUCCUUUCUCUUUUCUGUCCAAAACACUUUUUAGAAUAAGAUGUCUGGAUAGAAAAAUUAGAUGUGUUUACAUAAAAAUACCCAUUCCUGGUUUCUCUUGAAAACUCAGUUGAUCUGGACCACACUAGUUCAGCCAGAGCAACGGGUGGACGAAACCCAAUAGGGGUCCUCUCUUCUCGCUCAGGCGUCAGACGUCUCUCCAGUUUGUCGUCACCUCUCUUCCUCGCUGUGGUUCUAUACCUCUCCUUUUUUUUACCUGCCUGAAUCUGGGGUGCAUUUGAAUUCCAAACAGAAAUCUGAUCAUGUGACACUCUUAUUUAAAAAACCUGCACCUGUUGGUCUGGCAGAUGAAGUUCAAACUCUUCACCGUAGCACAGAAGGGACUUCUUCACCUGGUCUCAUGCUCUCUGUGGAUGUCCUUUGUGACUCAUGCCCUUCUCAGAAGUCAUGCUGAAUGGCUGCGCCGUGUUGUAUGUCUGUGUCUUCUUCUGUCUACGGUGAUUUCUUCCUUUCAGGUGGGAUGCCAUUUCUUUUCUUCUGCAGCUGGUGUACAUUCAUUCUUUAGCCUCUGUCCAAAUAUAAAUCCUCUUCUAACUUCUGCUUUCUCGUCACCUGCUUCUCCACUUCCUCAGCAUCUCGGGCUCGCCUCUGUUAGGACCCGUUGCCACUAGUGUCUGGUGAAUUCUCUCUCCUUCUCCAGAAUGCACACCCUUCGGGAUUCUGAAUCAUCUUCGUCUUUGGAGGCCUAGUGUGGGAUAGGGAGUGGUGUUCAGUGAAUAAAGGUGUCGGGUGGAAAAGUUUGAUCUUCUAUUUUCUUCCCUAUGAAAGGACACCUCCUGCUUCCAUAUCAGAGGAUUAUUGUGGGAACCCAAUGGCAUAAUGUCCUUUGUAAAAGUAGCUGGAAACUGCAAAGCGAUGUAUAUGAAUGAAUGGAGCAGUCAGAAAAUGCUUAUAAAGUUGAUUCACUGACUGCUGGUUUAAAAUGGUGUCUGUGAACAGCCUCUGGUACAGCUUUCUCCGUAAUGUGCAGUAAAAUACCUAAGAAGGCUUAGAAGAAGAUAUAAACUCAAAAUACAGCCAUAAACUUGGACUGACAAUCAACUAAAGGCUGGAUCAGGGAGGUAUUCUAGACUCUGGGACUUCAGCAGUAAAUAAAGCUGACAAAAAUCCCACCCCUGCAGAGCUUGCAUUCCAAAGGAAGAAGACAAAAAUAAAAUGUAUUAUAUGACAUAGUAUGAUAGGAAGUGAAAAUGGCUAUGUAGAAAAAUAAAGAGGGAAGGGGAGAAAAAUAAAGAGG